rnacentral:tRNA from 2 species
CACUCAGUAGCUUAGACGACAAAGCACCGGUCUUGUAAUCCGGAGCCGGAGGCUAAAAUCCUCCCUAGUGCU